CCUACGGGAGGCAGCAGUGAGGAAUAUUGGUCAAUGGACGAGAGUCUGAACCAGCCAAGUAGCGUGAAGGAUGACUGCCCUAUGGGUUGUAAACUUCUUUUAUAUGGGAAUAAAACGUUCCACGUGUGGGAUUUUGUAUGUACCAUAUGAAUAAGGAUCGGCUAACUCCGUGCCAGCAGCCGCGGUAAUACGGAGGAUCCGAGCGUUAUCCGGAUUUAUUGGGUUUAAAGGGAGCGUAGGUGGAUUGUUAAGUCAGUUGUGAAAGUUUGCGGCUCAACCGGAAAAUUGCAGUUGAAACUGGCAGUCUUGAGUACAGGAGAGGUGGGCGGAAUUCGGGGUGUAGCGGUGAAAUGCUUAGAUAUCACGAAGAACUCCGAUUGCGAAGGCAGUUCACUGGACUGCAACUGACACUGAGGCUCGAAAGUGUGGGUAUCAAACAGGAUUAGAUACCCGAGUAGUC
rnacentral:rRNA from 1 species